rnacentral:rRNA from 1 species
UACGUAGGGGGCUAGCGUUGUUCGGAAUUACUGGGCGUAAAGCGCGCGCAGGCGGGUCCUCAAGUCAGGGGUGAAAGCCCAGGGCUCAACUCUGGAACUGCCCUUGAAACUGGUGACCUUGAGUACGGGAGAGGUGAGUGGAAUUCCCAGUGUAGAGGUGAAAUGCGUAGAUAUGGGGAAGAACACCGGUGGCGAAGGCGGCUCACUGGCCCGUAACUGACGCUGAGGCGCGAUAGCGUGGGGAGCAAACAGG